GCUUACUGCUCCACCUGAAGGCUGUCAGUUUGGAUGCUGGAUGCUUUGAAGCUGCUCACCUCUUCGAAUACCAACUCUACACACGUGAAAGAAGCAAGCAGGUGAGAAGACGUCCAGCAGCCCGAUUACCUGCAGAGACAGAGACAGAGACAGAGACAGCGGAUCAAUAGCAGAGUGGAACCACGCAGAGAACCGUGUCUGUCUGUCUCACUCGGGGGAUAUUUUUUAUAAGGAUCACUAACGUUCUCGUGUUUCAUGUGCUUGAGGAGCCGGAGUUCCCGGUACGAGCGGCGGCUGUGGAUCAGAGACUGAAACGGCCGGGACAGCUUCUUCACCGCAACCUUCUGCCUUAAGACCACAUCGUAGGCCGAACUGGAGAGAGGGAGAGAGCAGAGAGAAAUAAAUGUUAAAACUUGUCUGAGUGUACAUCAACACACAUGAAUUAUUGACUGUAUCCACUGACAUUAUGGUGGUAACUUUCCAAAGGUGAGGUUGUUCUUUUUUUUUUAUGAAAACCACAUUCCUUGUGUUCCAGAACAUGUGACACUUAAAUGUAUUUAAUGUAACCUUACUGACUUUUUAAGUUUGUCCCCAUGUCCCAUCCACUAACAUGGAGAAGGCAGGGUUUAGAUGAACUUGGUAUUGCUGGUACUUUAGAAGAGAGCAAAUUGGUUGCUGGCUCCAGCUACCGAUUUACUUGUUUAUCUUAUCUUCUCUAUAACUCUCACCAAGAAAGGGAGUAACCGCAUCUCCGUAAAACAAGAAUCAACCAAGUGCUCCGAUAUCAGCUGGUGAGAAAUGAUUGAGAGAGGAGAGAGGGACAAAGAGAGAGAGCUGCAGAGAGAGAGAGAGAGUGAAAGAGGAUGUGGUGGAACCAGAGACGUGUAGGAUGUCUGAUAUUGUUGAAGGGCCCCAGUUCAUUUCAUCUCUGCCUCUUUUUGAAAUGUAAAUGCCACGCUGCUGAUGCCGCUGCCUUUGUGGUGCUGCCGUCUUCUCAGCCCUUACAUGCAGAGGCUCUAAUAAUACUCCAGCCAUCAGAGAGCGGAGCAGACAAACAGGAAGGAAACAUGUGUGAGAGAAUUGAGAAACAUCGUGGAGAACAGCAGGAACAGGCCACGAAGCAAGAAGUGAAACACUGAAGUGGACUUUGAAAUCAGAAUAAAUCUGAAGCAGAAGACCGGACCUGAAGUGUGCAGCUGUCGGUGCACUCCAGCCAAAUGGCUCCCGUUGGCUCCCCGGGCACGAGAGCCACAGUAAAGAUGACUGUGUCGUUUCAUGGUGACACGCUUGAGUAAACUACACUCUAGCAGAACUUGAGUGCAACCAUGUGGCUCUGAAAUCCCUCGGCCUCCAGUCCGGAUGUCCCCGCAGGGCCUCGGCCAGGACAGCAGCCAGCUUCCUCUGCCGCUGACAUCAAACAGGCCUCGCACAUACCUUCCUCCCUGCCAUCCUCCACACGUGGGUCUGGCUGCGCUGCUCUCAGAACACACAGCUCAGCCGAGGCAUCGAUUCCUUUUGUCUCUGCGUUUUCUUACAUUCUCACUCUAAGAUGAGAUAAGAUACAUUUAUUGAUCCCAAACACAUGCACAGACACACUCAUGCAAUCGAGGGAAAUUUGUCCUCUGCUUUUAACCCAUCGGGUGAAGGACACACAGAGCAGUGGGCAGCCAUGUACGGCGCCCGGGGAGCAGAUGUUGGGGGAGUAAGGUGCCUUGCUCAGGGGCACUGGACAGUGGGGUAGGGAGAAUCCUCUUGGAUUUUUUGGACAGAUCCAAGUGUUGUCCAUCCAGGUCUGUCCAGGUACGUUGCUUUUGUUGUUGUUACUCCGUGGAGUCGAACCAGAGACCUUCCAGUCUGAUGUCUUCUUUUAUGUAGUUGUUCUGACCUUGAUAGUUAUUUACAUACAGGAGCAUAUUUGUGAUUUUAUACUAAAUGACAAGCAGCAGCUCAUUAACCUGGAUAUGUAUUGAAAAAGCCAAUAAGCCUUUACUAUAUACGAUUUGAGUUGAAACCAGUGAUCACAACUUCACCCAGUAUAGCGCAUAUACCUCUGCAGAGGUCCAACAGUCCCCUUAAAUUAAAACAAACCUUAUAAUGGGUUCUUUCCUGACCCAUACUACAUCCUUCCAACAACCUUUGUGGUUAGUGUCGCCUAGUUGUUGUGCAAUCUUACUCAAGUCAAUACGAUUUUUAAAUUUUGCUGAAAAAAUAAUGACCUGAAUAAACCAGUCAAUCAACGGACUGAUCGAUUUCAGUGCUAUGCAGAAUGACUGACAGUUUAAGCUCUUUUUAUAGCCCACAUGCAUUUGUUUCUUUUUCUGUCAAACGCUGGUCCAUCCAUCCAAUCACCUUCAGCAACCAAUCAGAGGCCCAAUCUCGUUCAAUGGCCAAUUUAUCAAUUUCCAAUCAACAAUCUGACAAGCGGUGACACAACACGUUUGACAGGAGAAAAACGAAGCAGAUAUUCGCAAUUCUGGCAAAAGUGAGCAGCUGUUAUACGUGCAGACACGAGGUGAAGGCAGCUUAGUGCAUCUCCUCCGCUGGGGUUGAGUCGCGACUGGAACCAGAAGUGGCCCAGUUUCUGUCUGAGGGAGCACAAGCAGAAAAGGGAACAUUCAAUGGGUUUGACGGGACAAUGAAUCUGGAUUAGUCAAGAGAACUGACAGGGUUCUGUCUGCCAAACUUUUUGUCUCGUGACUUAUCAAAAGUCCAGAGGCCUAAAUUAUGAAACAGGCUUUGUAUUUAUGAUCUCUUGUGUCUGUGGUUUGCAUGUCUGAAUUCCUUCAACCGUCGCUUUCCGCUCUUACACCUUCUGUCCCGUCCUCUCGCUAAACUCUGUCUGUAUCUUUCGGCUCCCCCUCUCCCACGGGUGAGGCGGGUAUAAGUUCUCCAGCUCCAGCUAUAAUGGAUCAUAGGAGCCGGCCGGAUCCUUGACCCCAGGCUUGCAGUCUAAAGAGGGUUCGCUGAGAGAACAAGUAGCUAUUUGAGAUAAAAGAUGAGAGGUGGUUUGCUGCCUACACGACAUGAACCCCCAUCACGAUAAAAACACACACAUACAGAUGUCAUACUCUGCACCCCCAUCCCCCCCCCCCCCCCCAGCCAUCUACUA